rnacentral:rRNA from 22 species
AAAUUGAAGAGUUUGAUCAUGGCUCAGAUUGAACGCUGGCGGCAGGCCUAACACAUGCAAGUCGGACGGUAGCACAGAGAGCUUGCUCUCGGGUGACGAGUGGCGGACGGGUGAGUAAUGUCUGG